ACAGCUUGUUCCAAACUUGUUGACAACUUGGGAUAAGCAGUGCGAACACAACUUGUUGUCUGGUUGUUGGCAGACUUGCUAUACACGGAAAAGUCUCACGACUUGCCAACAAGCUGUCAACAAGUUGUGUUCGCACUGCUUAUCCCAAGUUGUCAACAAGUUUGGAACAAGCUGUGAACAA